rnacentral:rRNA from 1 species
AGAAUCAACGCUGGCGGCGUGCCUAACACAUGCAAGUCGAACGAGAAAGUGGAGCAAUCCAUGAGUAAAGUGGCGCACGGGUGAGUGACACGUGACUAACCUACCCUUGAGUGGGGAAUAACUUCGGGAAACCGAGGCUAAUACCGCAUAACACCUACGGGUCAAAGGAGCAAUUCGCUUAAGGAGGGGGUCGCGGCAGAUUAGUUAGUUGGCAGGGUAAUGGCCUACCAAGACGGUGAUCUGUA